rnacentral:rRNA from 1 species
GGGGCGUCCCGGCGCGCCCGCUUCGGCGAGGCGCGCUGAACGCACCAUCCUCGCGGGGAACCGGCGGCAUUCACUUGUCGCCGCGGAUCCGCGUCCUUUACUGUGAAAAAAUUAGAGUGUUUAAAGCAGGCUCGCCGCUUGAAUACAUUAGCAUGGAAUAAUGAGAUAGGACUUCGGUGCUAUUUCGUUGGUUGCGUACCGAGGUA